CCUGGCUGAAUUUAGCCUGGACAUGGUUUCACAAAAGAGAUGGCACAAAAGGUAAAAUGGGGAUUUAUUCUGUGCACCUAGCCUGGUCCCGACCAGGCUAACAGAUAGGCUUAGUUAAUUCUAAUUUUAAUUAUGUUGUCUUAUUGGUUCAGCCAGCUGUCAUUCAAAUCAGACCUCCAUGUAAAUCUUUUAAGAGCUUUAUUCCAUUUAUAUACUAUUUGCUAAAUAUAUUUGCUCGCAAAAUACAGAUUGUC